rnacentral:rRNA from 1 species
AUUGAACGCUGGCGGCAUGCUUUACACAUGCAAGUCGAACGGUAACAGGCCGCAAGGUGCUGACGAGUGGCGAACGGGUGAGUAAUGCAUCGGAACGUGCCCAGUCGUGGGGGAUAACGCAGCGAAAGCUGCGCUAAUACCGCAUACGAUCUAUGGAUGAAAGCGGGGGGCCGAAAGGCCUCGCGCGAUUGGAGCGGACGAUGUCAGAUUAGGUAGUUGGUGGGGUAAAGGCUCACCAAGCCAACGAUCUGUAGCUGGUCUGAGAGGACGACCAGCCACACUGGGACUGAGACACGGCCCAAACUCCUACGGGAGGCAGCAGUGGGGAAUUUUGGACAAUGGGCGCAAGCCUGAUCCAGCAAUGCCGCGUGCAGGAAGAAGGCCUUCGGGUUGUAAACUGCUUUUGUACGGAACGAAAAGGCUCUGGUUAAUACCUGGGGCUCAUGACGGUACCGUAAGAAUAAGCACCGGCUAACUACGUGCCAGCAGCCGCAGUAACAC